AGUGAUGAGUAGAGAGGCGGACGGGUGAGUAACGCGUGGGAAUCUACCCAGUAGUGGGGGACAACUACCGGAAACGGUAGCUAAUACCGCAUACGCCCUAUGGGGGAAAGGCUUCGGCCGCUAUUGGAUGAGCCCGCGUCAGAUUAGCUAGUUGGUAGGGUAAAGGCCUACCAAGGCAACGAUCUGUAGCUGGUCUGAGAGGACGAACAGCCACACUGGGACUGAGACACGGCCCAGACUCCUACGGGAGGCAGCAGUGGGGAAUAUUGGACAAUGGGCGAAAGCCUGAUCCAGCAAUGCCGCGUGUGUGAAGAAGGCCUGCGGGUUGUAAAGCACUUUCAGUUGGGAAGAUGAUGACGUUACCAACAGAAGAAGCACCGGCUAAAUCCGUGCCAGCAGCCGCGGUAAUACGGAUGGUGCGAGCGUUAAUCGGAAUUACUGGGCGUAAAGCGCGCGUAGGCGGCUAAGUCAGUCAGAAGUGAAAGCCCCGGGCUCAACCUUGGAAUUGCUUUUGAUACUGCCUAGCUAGAGUUUGGUAGAGGAUAGUGGAAUUUCAGGUGUAGCGGUGAAAUGCGUAGAUAUCUGAAGGAACAUCAGUGGCGAAGGCGACUGUCUGGACCAAAACUGACGCUGAGGUGCGAAAGCGUGGGUAGCAAACAGGAUUAGAUACCCUGGUAG
rnacentral:rRNA from 1 species